rnacentral:lncRNA from 1 species
AUCCGUCCGUCCGUAUCCCAUCUCAGGCUGAGAGAUGCUGAUGUGAGGCCCAGAGGGUGGUGCCUGAGAGAGAAACCGGCGGUUGCAUAAACCGAGGCCACUUCAGGUUAAAGGGGAGCGAGUUCUGUCUAUCCAAACGAACACGGUGAGAACUGAAGGGAUAAAUGUACCACCCGAAGGAUUCUCCUGGGACCCUCCCCAAGGACCUGGAUUCCUUAAAGAUCCCGCCACAGCAGGAGCACUCAGAGUACGCCUUCCCCAAGCAAAGAGUCUAAAGGUCUGGGAGAUCCCCUCCCUCCCUCGUCAUGGACAAGACCCAUUCUCAGUGCUCUGCCCCACCUAACUCCAGGGCCCCACGGAAGAAACGAGAGAGGAAUCUAGAGCAGCAUCGUCUCCCGCGCGUUCUCCAGGUAUUUGCACAGGCGCGGGACGCCCUCUUCCUCCAGGCCAGCGCUCCGGGACUUUGCACGGUGGAAAAGAGGGACGUCAUUUGUCCCUGAACAGAAUAACCUGAGACCGCCGGUACCAUGGCUGUGGACGUGUGGGGUCGUGGGAAUCCCUAGCGCUGGUCGCGCUCCUGAGUCCGCUUCCAAACCUCAUUCACGACCCGGAAAGGAUGCAUGCAUAUAUAUGUGUGUGUGUGUGUG